rnacentral:pre_miRNA from 1 species
AAAAGUGCUCACAAGUGCAGGUAGCAGGGUGCAUCUACUGCACUGUGGGCACUUCUUGC